rnacentral:rRNA from 1 species
UACGUAGGGUGCAAGCGUUAUCCGGAAUUAUUGGGCGUAAAGAGCUCGUAGGCGGUUUGUCGCGUCUGCUGUGAAAACCCGAGGCUCAACCUCGGGCCUGCAGUGGGUACGGGCAGACUAGAGUGCGGUAGGGGAGAUUGGAAUUCCUGGUGUAGCGGUGAAAUGCGCAGAUAUCAGGAGGAACACCGGUGGCGAAGGCGGCUUCCUGGACACCAACUGACGCUGAGACGCGAAAGCGUGGGGAGCAAACAGG